GAUCCUGGCUCAGGAUGAACGCUAGCUACAGGCUUAACACAUGCAAGUCGAGGGGCAGCAUGGUCUUAGCUUGCUAAGGCCGAUGGCGACCGGCGCACGGGUGAGUAACACGUAUCCAACCUGCCGUCUACUCUUGGACAGCCUUCUGAAAGGAAGAUUAAUACAAGAUGGCAUCAUGAGUCCGCAUGUUCACAUGAUUAAAGGUAAUUCCGGUAGACGAUGGGAGUACG
rnacentral:rRNA from 1 species